UGAAGCUGUUCUUCUCAGAGCAGGAAGACUGUGGGUCUCACAUGACUUCAAGAUCUGAACCAUCUGAAUGAUCAUUUACACUCUUAGCUUCCUUCACAAGCUUAGAGGAUUACCUGCAUGAUACUGGACAUAAUUCACAUUUCAUUGCAUAUGACACAUGCAAGAAAUUGACACAAAGUGUCCUCACCCUCUCAACCACAGGGAGAACAAAAGGUAUGAGAC
rnacentral:lncRNA from 12 species